rnacentral:lncRNA from 1 species
CUGCUACCACGAGCCAGCCAUCAUUGGUGUGUCUUUCCCCUUGUUUCUUUCCUUGUAUAUACAUAUUUCCAUUGACUGAUGCAGAAACUCAUGCGUGCACAGCGGUCUUCCUUUCCUACUUUCUUGUUACCCUCUCACUCUCUUUUCCUCAAGGAGUCUUUACCAGUUGAGAGAAAGACCAGGUAAAAGAUCAAAACUAUCCAUUUUAUUAACAGCUGUGCUGACUGGACAGCAUCACUUGGCUCUGCUGUCCUAGAGGAGCAUCUUCAUACCUUUGCCUCAAGUCCAGAUCUUGGACCGCAGCCAUGGAGAGCUGGCGCGUGCAAGGCAGAUCUAGAGCAGCUGGACAACCACCCUACAGGAACAUGUCACAUGUCACAUACAACCUAGAUAAAGAGAGAGAAUGUUUAUUGAACAGACUUUCCUCAGAAUUAGAGAACCUGUACAACCGUUCACUGUACUUUCUUGUCAGUAUACAAAUGCCAACUCCUUUCUCAGGAGAGAAAUAGUUGAGGGAAUUGAGAUGGAGAAAUUAUUAAUCUUCUCUUAGGGGAGAAAUAGCAUGAAACCAUUUCCUCCAUGGCCUUUGAAGAGACACAUACAAGUAAGCAUUUCCUCUCUGAAUGUUCAAAUUUUAAUGUUAUAUUUAAUGACUACCUAGUAGUUGAUUUACGUAUGUGUAUUUUGAGAUGCCUUUUUAUGGAGAGGGGUAUUUUUGUUUGUUUUAUGAAAUAUUUUGGUUUGAGAUCAAAAGGAAACCUUUGCAAAGAUGGGUGGCCUAGAGUAAGUAGGAGAAUGUUCACAGAUGUUUACCUACCUGAUAUUGGUUGUUCUACAUCUUAGGUGCCUGCUAGAACCCACCUGUAGAUGUUUGUAUCCACAGAAAUCAAAGAGGGACAGAUAGACAGCUUGAAUCAGAUAAGCUGAAAACUGAUGGGUAAUUUGACACAAGACUUGUUGCUGGGGAAACACUUUCUGGUUAGCCAUGAACCAAGACCAUGUGGAGCUAUAUUAACUAGCCCUUCUCUUUUCUGUUCCUUUUCAGAUUUGUGUUUUAUAGAUAAUCUUCUUCCAAAUAGAAGGGUUUUAUUUUCUGCUUAAUUGAGUGUAAACAAUUGAUUACAUGUUUGCUUCACAGACUCUGAGUGUUGUGGCAUUUUUCUGCUGUUGGAGAAUUGAUCAGCAAGAAGACUGGACUUCUCUCUUUUUUUAAGUGAAGUUUUGAUUAGGGAUGAAGUCCAGCAGUGCUCAGUGUUCAUGGAUGAUAAAGCAAACCAAUGAAGCAUCUUGUGUGCUCUGCUAAUAGGAGGAAAAAAUUCUGCGGUUCCAAUUUUCUGAUUGUCUUCCACUUAAACAUGAUCUGCAAAUACUAUUUUUAAAGUAUAAAUAACCACAGCAUCUUAUUUUUCUGCACCAUCAUUAAAUACUCAUUUCAGCCUGGUAAAACAAAUUCAGCUCUUUCUGAGGAAAGGAAAGUUGAAAACAAAUCUGCAGGAUGGGACUCUGCUGUGAUUUCUAAAUCCCUGGCAGUCAUUUCUUUGCCCUAACCAAGAGUCAUUAAACCAAUUUUAACAAGACCUCUAGACACAGGGAAAAACACAUGCUAAGAAUAAAGAGUCCAGCAAAACUUUUGAAGAUUUUCUCACUUAGAGGUUUCCCAGUGCAGUGUUUACAAAUGUAUCCCAGUCUUGGAGUGUAUUCAGAUUUCUUAAGGCUGGGAAAGAAUAAAAACAUACACUCACCAGAAGGGACAUUUACUCACCAAUUAAUGAAAUUCUUGAGACUUUAGCCAUGAGCUGCUGUUUAACCUUUUGUUGAUUUGGGAUGGCUUUGAGUAAUAAUCACGUUAUAUGGUUGAACUACUGAUGUUUUGCAAAUUCUGAGCCGUGUAUUGCCAAGCUUUAAUUGUGCAUGAUGGCUUUCAGGAAUCUAAAAAAGAGGGAAAAGGAAAAAAAAAAAAAGAGCUGACGGUCAAAUCAUCCAUAUUUAUUUAGGGCAAAAGAGAGGACCUCAAAGUAUCUAUGCAUAUAUUCUUCACUUUUAAAAAUUACUACACCACUUAUCUAAAUAUUGCUGAGGCCACAUUCCUGGAAAUGCAAAGAUAUUAAAGGAACGUUACUCAAAAUCUAAUUUUUCCUAGGAACAAUGCUCUAGAUUGAAUCAAUGAGUUCUGGAGAGUACCAAAACAGAUUAAGGUAAUAUCAAAUCAGGGAGCUAGGUUCCCGUCGUGGCGCAGUGGUUAACGAAUCCGACUAGGAACCAUGAGGUUGCGGGUUCGGUCCCUGCCCUUGCUCAGUGGGUUAACGAUCCGGCGUUGCCGUGAGCUGUGGUGUAGGUUGCAGACGCGGCUCGUAUCCCGCUUUGCUGUGGCUCUGGCGUAGGCCGGUGGCUACAGCUCCGAUUCGACCCCUAUCCUGGGAACCUCCAUAUGCCGCGGGAGCGGCCCAAGAAAUAGCAACAACAAC